rnacentral:rRNA from 1 species
GUGGGGAAUAUUGCACAAUGGGGGAAACCCUGAUGCAGCGACGCCGCGUGAGCGAAGAAGUAUUUCGGUAUGUAAAGCUCUAUCAGCAGGGAAGAAGAAAUGACGGUACCUGACUAAGAAGCACCGGCUAAAUACGUGCCAGCAGCCGCGGUAAUACGUAUGGUGCAAGCGUUAUCCGGAUUUACUGGGUGUAAAGGGAGCGCAGACGGCACUGCAAGUCUGAAGUGAAAGCCCGGGGCUCAACCCCGGGACUGCUUUGGAAACUGUAGAGCUAGAGUGCUGGAGAGGCAAGCGGAAUUCCUAGUGUAGCGGUGAAAUGCGUAGAUAUUAGGAAGUACACCAGUGGCGAAGGCGGCUUGCUGGACAGUAACUGACGUUCAGGCUCGAAAGCGUGGGGAGCAAACAGGAUUAGAAACCCUGGUAGUCC